rnacentral:lncRNA from 1 species
UUGUUAUUUUUUUAAAAAAAUUAUGUUUGAUCUUUAGAACUCCUAUUGAUUUUUGAGAAUACGAGUAUUAUGUAUGAGAAUUAGUUGAGAUAGAUGAAGAUAUAAAUCAAAUGAAUGAGUGUGCAUGAAAAUUUUAAACAUUUAAUUGCUUUAAGGAUUGACUUUGAGAAUAUGCCAUGUUGACUUUAUAGUGUUAUACCAAUGCAAGCUUUUGAGCCUUCAACAUUAUUUUUUUUU